rnacentral:rRNA from 1 species
AACGAACGCUGGCGGCAGGCCUAACACAUGCAAGUCGAGCGCCCCGCAAGGGGAGCGGCGGACGGGUGAGUAACGCGUGGGAAUUUUCCUCAAGGUACGGAACAACUCAGGGAAACUUGGGCUAAUACCGUAUGAUGCAGAGAUGCCAAAGAUUUAUCGCCUUGGGAUAAGCCCGCGUCAGAUUAGGUAGUUGGUGGGGUAACGGCCUACCAAGCCUGCGAUCUGUAGCUGGUCUGAGAGGACGAUCAGCCACAUUGGGACUGAGACACGGCCCAAACUCCUACGGGAGGCAGCAGUGGGGAAUCUUGCGCAAUGGGCGAAAGCCUGACGCAGCCAUGCCGCGUGAAUGAUGAAGGUCUUAGGAUUGUAAAGUUCUUUCGCCCGUGACGAUGAUGACGGUAACGGGAGAAGAAGCCCCGGCUAACUUCGUGCCAGCCGCCGCGGUAAAAC